UUUAGUAAAAAUUUUAAAACGCCAUUUACAUGCGAAAUUCACUAUAAAAUUAUACAAAUUUUUUAAAACGACCGACUGACCUGUCUGACCGCCCACCCAUGGGUGUGGCGCGGGUCAAUUCUAUUUUUGCGGGUCGAAAAAAUUGCUUACCGGGUCGCGUAUAACAGCUACAUUUCUUUCUCUCUCACCUCAAACACAACUUUCUCUCUCCUUCUUCCAUGUCGCCCGACAACUUCUGGCCUCUUUCUCCUCCUCAUCUCCGUCACGAUCUAUACCAUCUCCGGUACUCUCUCUUUUCUCGCUCCUCUAGAGAUGAAGAGAUGACGGCGUUUUGUAGAUCAGAGGAGCAACCGGUGACGGCAGAAUUAGGAACCGCUCUUGCGGCGGCUGCACCGGUGGCUCUGAUUCGCUGCUUAUAUAUGGUGGUCACAUUCGUCGUUGUUGGUGGUGGCUUGAGCUAGUGGUUCAGCAUCUGAAGUUAAACCUCGUCUAUGGAGUGACACGAUAAUAUUUCAAUCAAGGAAACACCAAGGAGUGUCUCAAGUUGAGCUGUUAUGUUUUCAAGAAGGCUUUCUCGGGAUCAGACUCAAGCUAAACGUAUUUUGGAUUGCAGCAUGGCUGAGGCAUGAAGCGCCUACUUACAGUAGGGCGGUUUGGGAGGUAUCCUGCAUAAGGAUACUGCCCAAAGUUGACAGCAGCAUGCAAGGCAGAAGCUACCCAUAUGAUGGUGGUGCAUGUACUUGUAAGAGCAUGCCUGGUUUUCAUUUCUAGCCACCAUGUUUCAUCUUUUUUUAUCACCAUGCCCCCACAUUUCAGAUCUUAUUCCACCAAGAUUGAAGUUCAGGAUCAAUUUCUACUAGGCUGUCUGUUGGAUAGUAGAACCAGCAAUAAUCAUUCACUCAUGUCUCAACUGCAAAGGGGUAAUCCUCAAUCAACAACUUUAGGCCAUGCGGGUGGCUGGAAUCCUUAACUACCAUCCCUCUAGAAUGUUGCAAAAAUCCUAUACGAUUUGAAAUGUAAUAUUGCAGUAAAAGUUGCAAUGCAUGUUGUGGCUUAAUGAUACAUGUAAAUGAAACUACCUAUUGGGAAGAUCAGUAGGAAGUGCUUCAUCAGCGAAAGCUCAACUUUUGUAUACAAAUGAUGACAAUUCCAAGCGAAUUUUUCUUGUUUCACCAGCAUUUAAUGAGGAUUUGCCUA